AUGAUUGCUGGUGAACUCUCAAAAAACACCUUCCCUCAGGCCCCAGCCCUAGAUAUUCAGACUCGGUUACCAAGGGCUGGGCGACCCGGCUGUCCGGUUUCUAAUCGUUCCUGGGUGAUUCAGACGGACGCUGCUGCGCUCGGCUGCUCACUCCCCCACGGUGCGAGCGCGUCGAGGCGACCCGCAGGGCCUCUCGGGCCGAAGCCGUGCAAGGUGGACGUCUACCUGGACGGGGCUACCCGCCGUCCAGGCCUGCAGAGGUCAACGAGCUACCCACCGUCGGCACGCACGCGCAGCAAAACCGCCCCCGCCCCGGAGCUGCCGACCCCCUCCCCAAGGGCUUCCCUCCCCAAGAGGCCAUCCCGCUGUGAGCCCUCCACCCGGGGCGAGCCAGGAGCCCGGGAGCUGCGGAGGCAGCCCGCUGCCACUCGGCGGCGCUGGUCUGGCCGCACGCCGCGUUGUCCAAGGGCAGGGAAAAUCCUGCCCUCAAGAGAGCCCCGGCUUCCCCGCGGCCUCUUGACACCGAGGCCUCUUCACGCGCGGUCCCAACCCGGGGCUGACGGGUUCGCGACUGUCCUGCCAAUCAGAUACGUUUUCCUCAGAGUGGCCAGCCGACCAAUCACCGCGCGCGGGUGUCUUCUUCGGCUCUUCGGCUCGUCGGCCCUUCGGCCCUUCGGGCCUUCGGUUCUUCGGCGCUCGCUGUUGCUGGGCGCUCCGGGGCCUUCCGCCACGCUCGAAAGCUUAGUUCUCCCGGGUUUAAUUUCCCCUUUUUUUCUCAGACACUUCCGGGUCCUGCGUCGCUCCGGAAGCCCGCGAGUUCCGGAAAAAGCCUGGGUAAUCCAGGUUCUGGGAGAAACCAAGCUUCCCAGAGAAUGUCUCAGAGAAAGUUACGUGGAACGGGGGCGUUUUCGCAGACUCCUAAGACCUCUCCCUCCUUAAUGCCUGUCAGUAAGAGACCUUCAAAGAAGACAUGGCCUCCAAGGAAGAGAACACGAAAAGGACAAACAGAGUGCUAAGAAUAAGUCAGCUGGAUGCACUUGAACUGAACAAGGCCCUGGAGCAGCUAGUUUGGUCCCAGUUUUCUCAGUGCUUUCAUGGAUUUAAGCCAGGGCUAUUAGCCCACUUUGAACCAGAGGUGAAAGCGUUCUUGUGGCUUUUCUUGUGGCGAUUCACUGUCUACUCUAAAAAUGCCACCGUGGGACAAUCCGUUUUGAAUAUUCAGUACAAAAAUGAUUUUUCCCCAAAGCUGAGGUACCAGCCGCCGAGUAAGAAUCAGAAACUAUGGUAUGCUGUGUGUACGAUUGGCGGCACGUGGCUGGAAGAGCGCUGCUACGACCUGUUUCGAAACCGUCAUUUGGCAUCAUUUGGGAAAGCCAGGCAGUGUGUGAAUAUCAUAGUUGGACUUUUGAAAUUAAGUGGGCUGAUUAAUUUCCUGAUUUUCCUUCAGAGGGGCAAGUUUGCAACUUUGACAGAACGUCUCCUGGGCAUUCGUUCUGUAUUUUGCAAGCCCCCAAACAUACGUGAAGUUGGCUUUGAGUAUAUGAAUAGGGAACUUCUCUGGCAUGGUUUUGCUGAGUUCCUGAUAUUUCUCUUACCACUUAUUAAUAUCCAGAAGUUGAAAGCUAAGUUGUCUUCAUGGUGUAUUCCUCUUACUGGUGCUCCUAAUAGUGACAAUACAUUAGCCACCAACGGCAAACAGUGUUCUCUGUGUGGAGAGUGGCCCACCAUGCCUCACACCAUAGGAUGUGAGCAUAUCUUCUGUUACUACUGCGUGAAGAGUAGUUUCUUAUUUGACAUGUACUUUACUUGUCCUAAGUGUGGCGCAGAGGUACACAGUGUGCAGCCACUGAAAUCAGGAAUCGAGAUGUCAGAAGUCAAUGCUCUUUAAAAACUAAGAUUGUUUCCUUUGAGGAAAACUGUAUUAUGUUCAAAUCCUUAAUAUUAGUCAUCCUAAGCAUAGUGUUUAGGUGUCUUUUAGGAGGGGAUGUGCUUCUCCAGCCACCGUCUGUCUUCUGUUCCUUUCCAAGCAUGAUGAAAUUCUAAUCACUAGAAACCACAUGAUUCUGAACAUACUAGGUAAACAAUAAUGUGUUACUUUAAAUCAUUGCAUUCAGUUUUUAAUGUCGAGAAUAAUGGACAGUUUUUGUCAGACUACUAAAAAUGCUCUUUCAUUUUGCUACUUCCUAGAAAGAGGUUAGAUUCUAAAAUGAUUUCAGAGACUGGGAUAAGUGUGUAUUUAUUUUAAGAGAUGGCGUUAUAACAUCAUAAUCUGACAAUGAUAAGACCCUAUUGUUUUGAGCCUUAAGAUCUAGUGCCCCAGUUGUAAUUUUAAGCUUUUCUCUAAAAUCUGUUUUUGAGGGAUUCAGUUGGCUUCAUUCUCAGGCAAAAUGAUGGCCACCAGGAGCUCUAGACUGAUGUUCUGCCAGCUUUCUGAUCCCCUGGGAAUGAGAGCUGCUUGUGUAAUAGCUCCGGCUAAGUCCAGGACCUCAUUGUCUUUGGUCUGCCUGGGAUUACACACUUGUGAACCAGGACAGAAAAGUACUACUCUUGAUUACUAGAUGUGUACCUUGUGGACCCGUAGUAGGAGAGCAGGCAGUUCGCCACAGGAAACUCAGGUGCCAUUAUAAGAAUAGUGGAUGGUGGGCAGCUAAGAACAACAGAUCCCUGCUAGAGUCCACAUUUAACUUAUUAAUAUCAAAAGUCUUUAUGCAUUCUUUAAUUUUACCAUUGAUCUGAGUUGAUGACAUAAGUAACUGAAUGGUUGACUUAGAUUGCAGACUUAAAAGGAUUAAAUAAAUGUUUUGUUAUACCAACAACUUUGUUGUAGUGUUAUUUUGAUAAAGUGCAUUCUGAGUAAAUACCCAUAUUAUUACCAUUUUAACAUGAAAAUAGUACUUUACCUAUAUGCUAACUAAUAGAGUUGUCAAUAUUACAGGGGUUUUAUGUUUUUCCAGACACUAAUGGCACUUAGUACAAUAAAUUUUUUUAAUUGUUUAUUUUUAUUUAGCAUCUACCCCCUCACUAAGUGACUACCCACAGGAGGUCAGGGAGUAUGAGUGUUCUCCUCGUCACUGGAUAACCAGAACCUAACUCUCUUAGUGCCAGUGUAGCAAUAGAGACAUUUUGUUAGCUGAACAACUAAACCUAAUAUCCGAGAUUGGGUUCUGCAAAAGUACAUGUUGCGAGGGACUUGAGGUACUUGGGCCUGGAUUGGGUCAAAGUGGUCAGACCUUUUUACCUACACCUCUCAGUCACUGGCCAUGUGCUCUGGGAAGGGUGUGACCUGGAGUGUGCCGGUUCUCUGCAGCUGCGGCAGACCCUAAAGGACCUGACUACCGCAGGCAGCCUGCUGACCCCACUCCCCCAGCUGGGCAACACAUCCAUCCCUGAGGAGCUGGGUGACCAGCCUAGUGUUAACCACAUCUAAUACUGUCUCUCCAUUAUUUUUCUUUAUGGUUUUCCAUUUCUGUUGUUCUUGCUUGUAAGCAUACAGAUAACACAUUAGUGGCAGGAAGUGUUCAACUUAAAAUCAUUCGGUUUAUGACUGACUUGUGUACUCAAGUGCUGCCUCAGGGAACUCCAACUCACUGCAGAGACCUAGGCCUGCUGGCUAAGUUGCUCUGACACCUGGUCCCUGCCUCCCGGUGCACUGCCAGGAGACUUGCUCUAACAGUGGCGCUUCUGUUCCUACUCCCCAGUGGUCUCAGGGCUCAAGGUUCAGUAUAACUGGGUCAUGUUUAGCUACAUGAUACAUUUCUGCUUUAGCCUCAAGAACCUAACCAUCACCUAUGAGUAUCUCCCCUUGGGAAAAUAAAAACUUU
ensembl:lncRNA